AGAGGAGCCCGGAGCCCACAGUGGCACGUGGCUGUGCAGGCUAGGCGCAUGCUCCGCUCAACCGCUGAGAGCAGGCACACAGCAGCCCCUGGAGAAGGCAGUCCUCAGAGCCCUGCCUGCGCUGUGGUUAUGGGAGCUGGGGUUUUCUGCUCCUUUCAGAUCAGCUCAGGAUUUCCUGGUCUCCAGUCCUGCCUGCGUUGACCUUUGUCUCCAAGAGCAGACACAUUCCUGGGCCCUGACCUCACAACGGAGGAGCCCACAUCCCACAAGGUUUAGCUCUGGAACCUGGUUUGGAAUUCCAGAGCUCAGCAGGACUGAUGAAAGGACAUUGCCUCCCCACGGGUCAACUUAGGACUCUCCCAGCAAAAGGGAAGAAAGAAAAAGGAAGCUUACUUUGGUCACUGCAGUAUUUCCAGGCUGUUGAUUUGGAUGGCACCUUGCGAAUACACAGCAGCAGCCUCUGGAUAGCAGACCCACCUCCCCAGAAAGACAUUUUCUUGAAUGCUUCACAAGGACUUCAACAUUAGAACAAUUUCCUUGGCAACUUUAAACGGUCAUUCAUUUUUAUUUUUGGUUAAUGUUUAGUAAUUACACACAUUUAUGGGGCAUAUUAUGAUAUUUCAAUACAUGUAAACAGUAUGCUCAGGUCAAAUCAGGGGAAGGAGUUCUCCCCUCCCCUUAUCAUUUCUUUGUGUGCGAGGUCUUUCAUCUCCCCUCUUCUAGUUCUUCCUUAAACACAGAACAGGAUAUUGUGAACUAGCACUUUUUAAAUUAUUCCAACUGCCCACCGCACUGAACUAUUGGCUUUUUCUCCGGAUUGUCUCAGCCCAUGGUCUCCCAAUGCACCUGUUUUCCCUAGCUGGACAUGCUAGUCUGUUGACUCCUGCCUCUCAUUCAUCCUGCCCUUUAACUGUUGGGCAGGAACUGUUUGUCAGGUCUGGCCUUACUCUCCAUUCCCGCUCUUAGCACAUCUGCACAAUGCUUCAUCACUUCCUAUCUGAAUUACCUUUUCUUUGUGCCACUGUUAAAAUUACCUCCCAAAAAGGCAAAAUGAUCAAAGUCUCCUAUUUUCUCCAGAUUGCUGUAUUACGACGAAGUUCUAAUUAACUAAAAAAACCUUGAAAAGGUGGCUUGUCCUUAUCCUUCAAACUCAUUUCCUGUUCUUCCUGAGUGCAUUUAAUCCUGAGUACUGUCUCCCACCCUAGACCUUUCUGUCUCGGAUUCUUCACUGGCUAAGGUCCAUUAGUAAGAAGGGUGUCUUCAGAUAAGGACUUAAAGAUUUAAGAUCAUUGCUUGGAAAGGACAUUCUACCUUCAUCUUUCUCCUGGUAUUUCAGGUCUCAUUUUUUAGUAGAAGGACCUGGAACAUUUUUACUUGAUAUGGUUUUCUAAUAGCCUGCCCUGACCAUACACCCAUCUGUCCUCCAUCUCUUCUUCCAUCCCCACCUGUCAUGCAUUCUAUAUCACUGAAUGCUAAGUGGUGAAAUUUAAAUGUACAAAAUAUGAAAUUUGAUACUACACCAAAAUCUAUAAAAUGAUGCCCAAAAUGUUUUGAAUAUAAUAUUUACUUAAAUUUACCUUUUGGAAGAUUUUUUUUUUUGCUCCACUCUGUUUAGUAUCUGGGGCAGGUGGCUAUUCUGGCUCUCAGAGCUGGUAGACUCAGGACCUGCAUGUUCACGGUUAACAAUUUGCAGCCACAGGCAUUUGUGCUCCCUGGUGGUGCUGUGCAUCACCAUGAGCCCCGACCUCAUAAGGAUGCCUCAGAGCUCCAUGUAUGUGCCGAGUGGGGAGACACCAGAGGGUCACUGCUAAGAGCCACAGCCAAGUAAUAUGAUGCAUGGCAUUUUUGGUUGAAAGGUGAUGCCAGCAAGCCAUUGAGAUGAUAUGAUUAUGUUAAGAUCUGCAUUCAUAUGGGUAUUGGACUCCUGCUGUUCACCCCGCCUGCUACGGGACUCCUGGAGAGUUGCCAUUGGUUGGGGAAGUGCGGUAGGAGGGAAUUCCUGUUGGGGUCUGGGAGAAUGCUGAGUGGGUCGGUUGGCAAUCAUCCGGGGAGUGUACAGGGCAUUGGCGGCAGUUUCAAAAAUAAAGUUUGUUCCUGCUUGAGUGGCUCAUGAUUUUGUGCCCAGCCAGACUGUGGCAGGUCACGUUGUAGAGUUUAAUUUAGUGAGGACAAGUAAAUUAAGCUCUGUGAUUAAAACAAAUCUAUAAAGGGGAAGGAAGUUUACUUAUUUUGCAUCAUCAUGUAUUGAAAUAUGUCAGACAUCCUACCCUGAUUGUUUACUUCUCUAAAGCUCUACAUCUGUACAUCUAAAGAGGGAGAGGGAAAACUGACUUGUAAACCUCUAAUAAGGGCCUCUCUCUCUCUCUCUCUCUAUCUCUCUAUCUAUCCCACAGUGUCUAGUCAGCAAAACUGGGAGCACUAGUUUUGAAAAUAAAAUGUAAUACUAAUUGUGUUCUCAUAUAUCCUGUUUUACAUUGUACCAAUUUUUUGAAGUUUUUUUUUUUUUUAAAUAAAG
rnacentral:lncRNA from 1 species